AUUGAACGCUGGCGGCAGGCCUAACACAUGCAAGUCGAGCGAGCGGCGGACGGGUGAGUAAUGUCUGGGAAACCGCCCGAUGGAGGGGGAUAAAUACUGGAAACGGUAGCUAAUACCGCAUAUUACUGGAUCUGCCCAGUUGGGAUUAGCUAGGUGGUCGGGUAACGGCUCACCUAGGCGACGAUCCCUAGCUGGGCUGAGAGGAUGACCAGCCACACUGGAACUGAGACACGGUCCAGACUCCUACGGGAGGCAGCAGUGGGGAAUAUUGCACAAUGGGCGCAAGCCUGAUGCAGCCAUGCCGCGUGUGUGAAGAAGGCCUUCGGGUUGUAAAGCACUUUCAGCGGGGAGGCGUUACCCGCAGAAGAAGCACCGGCUAACUCCGUGCCAGCAGCCGCGGUAAUUC
rnacentral:rRNA from 1 species